rnacentral:rRNA from 1 species
UAUUGGACAAUGGGCGCAAGCCUGAUCCAGCCAAGCUGCGUGAGUGAUAAAGGCCUUCGGGUUGUAAAGCUCUUUUGCCGGGGACCAUAAGGACGGUACCCGGAGAAUAAGUACCGGCUAACUUCGUGCCAGCAGCCGCGGUAAUACGAAGGGGACAAGCGUUGUUCGGAAUCACUGGGCGUAAAGCGCACGUAGGCGGAUCAUUUAGCCAGGGGUGAAAUCCCCGGGCUCAACCUCGGAAAGGCCUUUGAGACUGAUGGUCUAGAGUUCGAUAGAGGUGGGUAGAAUUCCUAGUGUAGAGGUGAAAUUCGUAGAUAUUGGGAAGAAGACCGGUGGCGAAGGCGGCCCACUGGAUCGAUACUGACGCUGAGGUGCGAAA